rnacentral:pre_miRNA from 1 species
GCAUGAUAACCCCAUUUUUCUCUUUGGUUAUCUAGCUGUAUGAUUUAUAUUUUACUUCAUAAAGCUAGGUUACCAAAGCUAAAACAGGGGACAAAAUCUAC